CCGGCUGGCACCUUCCCCCUGCCCCGAUGCCAUUGCCACAGCACUGCUGUCACAUCUGUCACCGUGUCUGUGACAUCUUGUGAGUAGCAGCACCAGCCAGGGGCACCCUUGGACACACCAACAUCCCCAGGACACCACUGGUUUUGGCUGAGCACCACAGCCACACAGGGUGGGGCAUGGAGGAGAAUUGAGGUGCUUGAAGUCCAGAGGUCCUCCUGGUCCCUCCAGCCCUGGAGAAGCCACCCCCAGCCCACUCGAGGAACUUGCAGGACAAGAUUCCCACGUUCUGAUGGUGACCCCAGCCCCACAUGGCUGUGACAGGGGACCCUGGCACCACCAGGAGCGUCAGCUGCAGCUUGGCACUGAACUGCCCAGUGAAAACAGAAAGGAAAGCCAGAGCCUCCUGCUCAGUGCUGGGGAUUUGUUUCCAUGGACUCCAAAGGAGCAGCUCCUGCUUCCCAUCCCUGGAGAAGGAUCAGGACCCUUGCUGGCUGCACUGGGGUCAAGCCCAGGGCACAGAAUUUGGCUGAGGACAGCUCCAGGAUGACCACAGUCACACUCUCUGCCUCCUUCCUA